GACGAACGCUGGCGGCGUGCUUAACACAUGCGAGUCGAACGGAAAGGCCCUGCUUUUGUGGGGUGCUCGAGUGGCGAACGGGUGAGUAACACGUGAGUAACCUGCCCUUGACUUUGGGAUAACUUCAGGAAACUGGGGCUAAUACCGGAUAGGAGCUCCUGCUGCAUGGUGGGGGUUGGAAAGUUUCGGCGGUUGGGGAUGGACUCGCGGCUUAUCAGCUUGUUGGUGGGGUAGUGGCUUACCAAGGCUUUGACGGGUAGCCGGCCUGAGAGGGUGACCGGCCACAUUGGGCCUGAGAGACGGCCCAGACUCCUACGGGAGGCAGCAGUGGGGAAUAUUGCACAAUGGGCGGAAGCCUGAUGCAGCAACGCCGCGUGCGGGAUGACGGCCUUCGGGUUGUAAACCGCUUUCGCCUGUGACGAAGCGUGAGUGACGGUAAUGGGUAAAGAAGCACCGGCUAACUACGUG
rnacentral:rRNA from 1 species